rnacentral:lncRNA from 1 species
GCCUAGAGAGGAGACAGUUACACACUGGCUCUUCCUGAGAACAGUCUCUGAAAGAAGGCCAAAAGGAGCAGGAGCAGCUGCAUCUUCCCAAGAAGCUUCCCAGGUCCGAGCUUCAGAAUCUUUGUGCUUGCUGUCUUUAACCUCCAGCAGAGGAAGCGGGAGGAGUCGGCUCAGUGAUCUAAUGCUUCCCACUGAUUUUGAGAUGCUUCAUCAUGGGAGCCUUUCUAAGAAGACACCGUACUCCCAACGCCUUCCCUUGAUGACAUCUAUGUGGUUGUGUGAGAAUCGUAGAGUGACCGCAGUUGCUGAUUUAGAGUAAACCACUUGCUCUAGCCCACAGGAUGAACGCAACACUGUAAGGUGGGGACUGUAGGAUGUGGUAUUGGCCAGUACAA